CUGUCCUAUAAUUGAUAUUCCACGAUUUAUUAAACUUACUUUAGAGGUUUGUAUACCGUCGUAGGUUGAAUGUUCUUAGAGGAUUAAAAUGUUCAUGAGUUAUAAUUAUAUAAAGAAAAUCAGAUCAAGGUACAGCGUAUAGGUAAGUAGAGAUGGGUUACAAUAAAUUUAUUUAAAUGGUUAUAAUAAUUAAAGUUAUUAUAUAAAGUGGAUUUGAUAGUAAUAUAAUUAAAUUAAAUUAUAUGAUUUUAGCUCUAGAAUAUGUACACAUCGCCCGUCGCCCCCACCCCAAGGUGGGGUAAGUCGUAACAAAGUAGGUGUACUGGAAAGUGUACCUGGUAUGGCAAAUUAGAGCUUGUUAAAAGUAUUUUAUUUACAUUAAAGUGAAGGUUGUGAAAGUCGAUUUAAUUUGAAAUAAAAGGCUUAUUUUUAAGUAGUAAAAAAAAUAUUUUUAUUAUUAGUAUUAUUAGAGAAUAUGGGAUUAUAGUUAUAGUUAAUUUGUAUAGAUAUAGAAAGUUGAAAUAUAGAUUAAUUAGUUAAAAGAAAAAUUGAGUUUUUGUACCUUGUGUAUCAGGGUUUAUUAAAAAAUAAUAAGUUAUUCUAAUAAUCUCGAAUUGUAAAGAGCUAAUAUUAUAUAAAUUUAACUGUGGCAUAAUUUUUUAAAAUAUAAUAUUAGAAAUGAAACGUUAGUCGUUUUUCAAAGAUAUCUAGUUUUUUAAGAAAUGAAUUUAAUUCAGUUAGUUCUAUAUUUUAUACUAAAUUAUUAGUUUGAAAUUAGGGGUUAAAUAAUAUUUUAAGGGAUAAGCUUUAAAGUAAAUAAUUAAAAUAUGGUUUUAAUGUAAAAAAAAAUUAGUAGGAUUGAAAAUUUUUAUCUAUAGUUUGUUAUAAUUAAUUUUUUUUGUAAAUAAGAUUUAUAUAAGGUAUUUAAGAUUUUUUAUUAAAAAUAAGUUAUUGAAAUUAUGUUUUAAUCGGUUAUAAUGAUAAAAUUAGUAUAGAUUGGAUGGUAUAAUUUAAAUGAAUAGAAUAUAGUUAAUUAAGGAACUCGGCAAAUAUGUUUUUCGCCUGUUUAUUAAAAACAUGUCUUUUUGAAUAUAAUUUAAAGCUCGGCCUGCCCAAUGAGGAGUUGAAUGGCCGCGGUACUUUGACCGUGCAAAGGUAGCAUAAUCAUUAUUUUUUUAAUUGAAAGCUGGAAUGAAUGGUCGGACGAGAGAACAACUGUCUCAGUUUAAUUGAAAUAGAACUUUAUUUUUAAGUAAGAAAGCUUAAAUAAAUUUAAAAGACGAGAAGACCCUAUAGAGUUUUAUUUAAAAAUGUAAGUGGUAGAUUAAGUAUUAAUGAACGAUUAUUUAUGUUUUUGUAUUUUGUUGGGGCGAUAGAAAAAUUGAAGGAACUUUUUUUAUAGUAAUUCAUUAAUGUAUGUGUAAGUGAUCCGUUAUUAACGAUUAUAAGAUUAAAUUACCUUAGGGAUAACAGCGUAAUUUUUUUUGAGAGUUCUAAUCGAAAAAAGAGUUUGCGACCUCGAUGUUGGAUUAAAAUUAAUUUUUGGUGUAGGGGCUGGAAUAUUAGGUCUGUUCGACCUUUGAAAUUUUACAUGAUCUGAGUUCAAAACCGGAGA
rnacentral:rRNA from 1 species